AACGAACGCUGGCGGCAGGCUUAACACAUGCAAGUCGAACGGGUGUAGCAAUGCAUCAGUGGCAGACGGGUGAGUAACACGUGGGAACCUUCCUAGGGGUACGGAACAACUCUUGGAAACGGGAGCUAAUACCGGAUGUGACCACGAUGCUUGAGGGCAUUGGGGUAAAGGUGGCCUGCAAGGGCUAUUGCCUUGGGAUGAGUUCACGACCCAUCAGGUAGUUGGGGGUAGA
rnacentral:rRNA from 1 species